rnacentral:rRNA from 1 species
UACGUAGGGGGCAAGCGUUAUCCGGAUUUACUGGGUGUAAAGGGAGCGCAGACGGAACUGCAAGUCUGAUGUGAAAGCCCGGGGCUCAACCGCUGGACUGCAUCGGAUACUGUGGAUCUGGAGUGCCGGAGGGGCAAGCGGAAUUCCUGGUGUAGCGGUGAAAUGCGUAGAUAUCAGGAGGAACACCGGCGGCGAAGGCGGCUUGCUGGACGGCAACUGACGUUGAGGCUCGAAAGCGUGGGGAGCAAACAGGAUUAGAUA